AUUGAACGUUGGCGGCAGGCUAAACACAUGCAAGUCGAACGAGUGGCGGACGGGGGAGUAAUGUCUGGGAAACUGCCUGAUGGAGGGGGAUACCUACUGGAAACGGUAGCUAAUACCGCAUACCAUCGGAUGUGCCCAGAUGGGAUUAGCUAGUAGGUGGGGUAAAGGCUCACCUCGGCGCCGAUCCCUAGCUGGUCUGAGAGGAUGACCAGCCAACCUGGAACUGAGCCACGGUCCAGACGCCUACGGGAGGCAGCAGUGGGGAAUAUGGCACAAUGGGCGCAAGCCUGAUACAGCCAUGCCGCGUGUAUGAAGAAGGCCUUCGGGUUGUAAAGUACUUUCAGCGGGGAGGCGUUACCCGCAGAAGAAGCACCGGCUAACUCCGUGCCAGCAGCCGCGGUAAUAC
rnacentral:rRNA from 1 species